AGCUCCAAUAGCGUAUAUUAAAGUUGUUGCAGUUAAAAAGCUCGUAGUCGGAACUUUGGCCGGGGCCGUGUGCCCAGCACUGCUGCGUUGCGCAUGUGCCCUGGCCUUUCCUUCUGGGGUCGCGGGUUCCUUUUGGGGCUCGCGGGUUCAGGACGUUUACUGUGAAAAAAUUAGAGUGUUUCAAGCAGGCAAGUUUUGCUGUGAAUACAUGAGCAUGGAAUAAUAGAAUAGGACUUUUGGUCUUGUUUUGUUGGUUUCUGAGACUGAAGUAAUGAUUAAUAGGGACAGUUGGGGGCAUUCGUAUUUCAUUGUCAGAGGUGAAAUUCUUGGAUUUAUGAAAGACGAACCGCUGCGAAAGCGUCUGCCAAGGAUGUUUUCAUUGAUCAAGAACGAAAGUAGG
rnacentral:rRNA from 1 species